UAGUUUCUUGCGGUAAACAAGAAAAAAAGCGUUUGUUUUUGGAAAGAAGUUUCUGGGGCUAAUAGACAAUUUCGUUCCGUAUGAUUAAAUAUACGCCAACCAAGUCUAGCAGAAUUUUAUUCUGUGAUAAAAACUACUGACCAUGAAAACUUAAGUUCUGCAUAUCAUCUGCUUCUUGAAAGAACUUAGGAGUAGCGAAGACCUCUGGUCCCAAAGAGACAAGCAGCCAUGGAGCAUUGCAAGACCCUGUGAGUUGCAAAGAUGGGCAUACUGCAAUCUGCAGUGAGUGUAUUGAACUGUGGCUGAAGAGGUGCAAGAAUUGUCCAUUGGAUAACACUCUGAUUACUGACAGCUUGGUUCGUAACUUGACUGUUUAUAACAUCGUGAAUAAUCUUUACGUUUACUGUUUUGCUCAAGAUGAGGAGGAUAAGGAGAAUGGUGAAUCAAAAGCAAUGAAAAAAACUUGUGAGGGAAUCACAAAAGAUGUAAGUGACUUGAACCACAAGCUUGAAGAGCUUAAAAAACACUAAGGGGUUUGUGCUUUCUACCAAGUACCAUGUCCUCAUGCAAACUGUAUAGACAUGGUGCAGAGAAGACAUAUUAAUGACCAUACCCAAGCAUGUAUACAUAGAAUAGUGGCGUGCAAGGAUUGCCAAGCACAAGUAAUUCAACAUGAUCUUCAACACCACCAGGAUAGUGACUGUCCUGAUGCAAUGAUCCCAUGCCCCAAUAACUGUUAUACAAAUCAUGAAACAAGCAAGAUACAAAGGAUAAGAUGUCUUCACUUACAGUACACAUUACAAAUUAAAUUGAGUCUUGCCUUGCCCAGAGAAGUGACAGGUUGAUAAAGGAAGUAGUUGCAAUAAAGGAGGAUUUGAAGACAUUGAAGUCUACUUUAAGAGAUGUAAAGAAACGUUUUAAAGAUCAACUUGGCAGUGCCAAUAGUUACACAUGGACAACUCCUGACUACCCCACUUUAUGCAAGAAAUAUGCCUGUGCCUCAAGCUUCCAAAGUCCUUUUUUCUGGUUAUGUAGUUACAGACUUAGAUUAUCAGUAUCCCCUAAUGGAGAUAGAGAAACAAGUCUUUCAUUCCUCUCUUUAUACCUAAAAUUAUAUGAAGACCAUUUGCUGACAUCUGGUGAUGUUCAUGUGGUGCCCAGCAGUGAAGCCACUAUAGGUUUCAGGUAGUGCCACACACCCACCAGUAUCCAAACCUGCYUUUCAACGUGGGGCAUGGGUUAUAUUGUUGAUAAAUUAGUAUCAAAAGCUAAAAAAUAAACACCAGCUUCUCAGCAGACAA